AAAAGAAGUCUUUGCUUCGCUCUCGUGGACGUAGGCAAACCACCGAACCACGUAAAAUUCUUGUGUUGAUUUUCGUUUUUCAUCUCUUUAAUAUUGCGCAUAAAAUCCAACAGUUCCUUUGAUAUUUUUCUUGUGUAUUCUUUAUUGAAUUUCUUCCCAUUGUGUAUAUGUUUUUUGAUUUCUGCAGAUGUAGUGUUGAAUAUGGGAUUUUUCCCCUUUUUCGUUUGAUCUUUUGGGAGAUCAAACCCAAAAUACCUAUUAUGCAACGAGAGUGGAGAAGAUUGAGGCUGACCCAAGUAGAGAUCUGAUUGAUUUCCAGGUACACCAUUUUUAAUUUGCUUUUGAGGAUCACGUUCGAAUAGUUGAAUCAGACCAUACUUCAUCUUUAGUAACUUGUUAGUUGAGUUGUCAUCUGUGUAAAAACUACCUUUGAAUUGUAAUAAAUGUAAAUGAUGCUUCAAAUUGAUCAUAAUUCUUAGUGAACUUGUUGUCUUCUAUCGGGUUAUAAGAAUGUGAUUUCUUGAUGUUUUCAUGUGGCAGAACAUGCUAGAUUAUAUGGGAAAAAUUGUGAGCACCUUUUUUGAAUUGAGCUUUAACUUUAUUUUGAAGAUCUUCGCUGUGGUUGAAAUUCAAGAUGGUUAGAAUUUUGUGUUAUGUUAUAAAUGCAUCUAUUUGGUUGCAACUUGCAAGUUAUAUAAAAUUUGUUUCAGUCCCCUCUCGAUGAAAGAAACAAACUUUACAAUUUCCUGUUUGGUUGACAUUAGACCACGGACAUAGAAGUUGAGUGUUUCAAUUUAGUGAAUAAAUUAGAGCUGAGUUGGAACACGAAAAAAUUCGACCAAAGAAGAGAUCACCAAAGAAGAGAUCACAAUUGCGAUGGGAUUUCUCUUCCUACUCUCUAGGGCUUCAAAUCUUGAAUGUUGAGGUACAACCCUUUUAAGCACUUUGGUUGUCUUCAAGUGCAUUUUGCCAGAAGUAUUUCAGUGCAUUUUGCCAGAAGUAUUUCAAAGUUUUUAGGUGCAUCCCCAAUUCUCUCCCACAAAUGAAAAUAUGUUAAUGUAUUUUUCUUCAUUCUUUAUCGUCUUUUUGUUUGUAAUUUAAUUUCAUUUAAUUGGAUUUGGUUUCUUUUGAUUUCACGUGCUCAUGCCUUUGUAAUCUGAUGUUUGAGUGAGUAGUGUGAUU
rnacentral:lncRNA from 1 species